rnacentral:rRNA from 1 species
AGAGUUUGAUCCUGGCUCAGAACGAACGCUGGCGGCGUGGAUAAGACAUGCAAGUCGAGCGGAACAAUCAGGGUAGCAAUAUUCUGGUUGUUCAGCGGCGCAAGGGUGCGUAACACGUGGGUAAUUUGCCAUGAAGUCUGGAAUAACUUGCUGAAAGGCGAGCUAAUGCCGGAUGUGACUUCCGAAGGGCAUCUUUUGGAAUUCAAAGUUGGGGACCUUUAUCGGCCUGACGCUUCUUGAUAAGCCCGCGGUCUAUCAGCUAGUUGGUGAGGUAACGGCUCACCAAGGCUAAGACGGAUAGCUGGUCUGAGAGGACGACCAGCCACACUGGAACUGAGACACGGUCCAGACACCUACGGGUGGCAGCAGUCGAGAAUUUUUCACAAUGGGCGAAAGCCUGAUGGAGCGACGCCGCGUGGGGGAUGAAUGGCUUCGGCCCGUAAACCCCUGUCAUUUGCGAACAAACCUUACCGGUUAACAACCGGUGAGCUGAUUGUAGCGGAAGAGGAAGGACGGCUAACUCUGUGCCAGCAGCCGCGGUA